rnacentral:snRNA from 1 species
AAACUUUUAGAGAAAAGAGAAAGC